rnacentral:other from 1 species
UGUCUCCUGCGGUGUUCGAUGUUCGUCAGGAACCCUUGAGCCUAAUUCACAGCAACGGGAACCAUAACGACGCAGGGUGUGCAGGCCCGCCCCGUAGCGGGAAGCCCAAAUGCAUUGUGCGGUGCCCACUUGAGACCUCCGUCUCAAGGUCGAAGACGGAUGACGGCACAGGCGGGAGACAC